rnacentral:rRNA from 1 species
AACGAACGCUGGCGGCAGGCUUAACACAUGCAAGUCGAGAGCCCCGCAAGGGGAGCGGCAGACGGGUGAGUAACGCGUGGGAACGUACCCUUUGCUACGGAAUAGCUCCGGGAAACUGGAAUUAAUACCGUAUGUGCCCUACGGGGGAAAGAUUUAUCGGCAAAGGAUCGACCCGCGUUGGAUUAGCUAGUUGGUGGGGUAAUGGCCUACCAAGGCGACGAUCCAUAGCUGGUCUGAGAGGAUGAUCAGCCACAUUGGGACUGAGACACGGCCAAAGCUCCUACGGGAGGCAGCAGUGGGUAAUAUUGGUAAAUGAGGGCGAUCCUGCACCAGCCAUGCCGCGGGGGUGAGGAAGGCCUUAGGGUUGUAAAGCUCUUUCACCGGAGAAGAUAAUGACGGUAUCCGGAGAAGAAGCCCCGGCUAACUUCGUUCCAGCCGCCGCCGUAACAC